UACGAAGGGGGCUAGCGUUGUUCGGAAUCACUGGGCGUAAAGGGCGCGUAGGCGGCCGAUCAAGUCGGGGGUGAAAGCCUGUGGCUCAACCACAGAAUUGCCUUCGAUACUGUUUGGCUUGAGACCGGAAGAGGUAAGUGGAACUGCGAGUGUAGAGGUGAAAUUCGUAGAUAUUCGCAAGAACACCAGUGGCGAAGGCGGCUCACUGGCUCGUAUCUGACGCUCAGGCGCGACAGCGUGGGGAUCAAACAGG
rnacentral:rRNA from 1 species